GACGAACGCUGGCGGCGUGCUUAACACAUGCAAGUCGAGCGGAAAGGCCCUGCUUUUGUGGGGUGCUCGAGUGGCGAACGGGUGAGUAACACGUGAGUAACCUGCCCUUGACUUUGGGAUAACUUCAGGAAACUGGGGCUAAUACCGGAUAGGAGCUCCUGCUGCAUGGUGGGGGUUGGAAAGUUUCGGCGGUUGGGGAUGGACUCGCGGCUUAUCAGCUUGUUGGUGGGGUAGUGGCUUACCAAGGCUUUGACGGGUAGCCGGCCUGAGAGGGUGACCGGCCACAUUGGGACUGAGAUACGGCCCAGGCUCCUACGGGAGGCAGCAGUGGGGAAUAUUGCACAAUGGGCGGAAGCCUGAUGCAGCAACGCCGCGUGCGGGAUGACGGCCUUCGGGUUGUAAACCGCUUUCGCCUGUGACGAAGCGUGAGUGACGGUAAUGGGUAAAGAAGCACCGGCUAACUACGUG
rnacentral:rRNA from 1 species